rnacentral:rRNA from 2 species
AGUGGGGAAUAUUGGACAAUGGGCGCAAGCCUGAUCCAGCCAUGCCGCGUGAGUGAUGAAGGCCUUAGGGUUGUAAAGCUCUUUUAUCCGGGACGAUAAUGACGGUACCGGAGGAAUAAGCCCCGGCUAACUUCGUGCCAGCAGCCGCGGUAAUACGAAGGGGGCUAGCGUUGCUCGGAAUCACUGGGCGUAAAGGGCGCGUAGGCGGCGUUUUAAGUCGGGGGUGAAAGCCUGUGGCUCAACCACAGAAUGGCCUUCGAUACUGGGACGCUUGAGUAUGGUAGAGGUUGGUGGAACUGCGAGUGUAGAGGUGAAAUUCGUAGAUAUUCGCAAGAACACCGGUGGCGAAGGCGGCCAACUGGACCAUUACUGACGCUGAGGCGCGAAAGCGUGGGGAGCAAA